ensembl:lncRNA
UAACUGGAAGGCUGCUUUAUUGUUUGGAAGUAGUUUCGUGCUCAAAUAAAGACAAUCUUUCUCUAUUUCUCAAUGAAUCCCAAUAUGGCUGUGCAACACACCAUCCUCUCUCUACGUUAGUGGCAACACAUGUCGACAGUCAAACAGCUGUGUUAGCCUGUUUUCAACAAAUCAAUCAAUAAAGAGACAAAAAUCAAUUUACCUCAGUCAUGCUACGAAAGAAAGGCUACAUGAACCGAUAGGUAAAUCAACACCAGAAAUGAACACAGGUGUAAACCAAAAGGCAAGCUGUCCUCUUACUGGUAAAAACCCCCAGUAUACGGAACACAAAGAGAGAGAGAGCACUUUACUACAUGAGACUACAGGAUGUUAGUCAGUCCAGUGUGAGUGGUGGUGUAUCUAGCAUUAGACCGCUCCCAUGGUUCACUCAGUGCGAUGUUUCUGUGGCCCACUUUAGACGCUCUUCCAUGGGUCUCGGAGAUAUUCUCAGUUCAGAUUUUUAGUGACUAAAUAAGAAGCUAAAAAGGCACGUGCCGUUAGAAGUAUUGCACCAGAAACAAAGACACAGACAGUUAGGACAGCUAACCCUUAAACCAUUAAUAUAUAUCUACAUAUAUAUCAUACUGACAAUGACAGCAAAACAAAGAUCAACUGGUUGGCAGACGGACGUACAAGGGAAACAGCUGAAAUGACUGAGUUGGUCACACAGAGUGAGCGGUGGUUGGUAUCGCACUAAUCAGCAGACACUAGAUUAUUGUACAGCUGUCUUUGUGUGUGUGUGUGUGUGUGUGUACGUGUGCGUCUAUCUGGAUGUGUGCCUCUGUGAGUUAAACAUCUAGUUGAUUUGGUGUGUGUGUGUUUGAGCGUGCACGUGCUUGAGUGAAGUUGAGGAGAAAAUGGAAAAGACAUCUUCACCCAUCCACAAAAGGGUGCUGGUAGUGCAAUCCUCUGCCCAAGCAGGCCAAACAGUCAGCUCAACACCAGGCAUCGAACACCUGCACCCAGACCAGAGACAUUGGUGGUUCUUUGGACAUAUCGCCCGAAGAGGGAAAGGUGGUCAAUUACAUUCUGCGAUGUUUCAUCCUCAGUACAAUAAGCAGAAGGGAGAGUUCGUUGAGGGGGACUUUGCUCUAAUGUAUACAUACAUAAAGUACACACAUAUGUACAUACAUAUAUACAGUACACAUAUGUGGUGCAUACAGUACACACAUGUACGUACAUACAUACAGUACACACAUAUGUACAUACUUCUGUUUUUGCAUGAAUUAUAUCGAUUUAAAUACCAUUUAUCUCUUUGUAUAGAUUAUUUUAUCCUACUUCCCUCUUUAAUGUGAAAAGUGACUCAAAAAAAUCUACUCCAUCUAACAAAUGUGUCAGCUGACAGCCAUUCUAUUUACGGUUAUUAAUAUUUAGUAUUAGAUUAAUAGCUGUAGUUUUUAAGUAAUUCUGUAUUUACAAAAAACUACGCAUGCCGUUAAAAUAAAAUGGUAUAUUACAUUAUUUAUAGACUUUAAAAAUCCAUUCUUAAUUUCUGAAGUUUGUGCCGUAUACAACAUAGCCUGGACUGUACAUUUUUCCCCAAAUGGAUGUAUAGCUGUGUAUAUUCGUAUUUAUUUCGUUAGUUUUUUGUAAUAUCUGUUGUCCACGGAGGUCUUGAGAAAACGGACGGCAGUAGCAUUUAUGCGUAUCAUUCAGUUUUAUUUGGUUCAAGUUGACGCCCACACUGAUGUCAUCUCAUGCAGCAACUGGACACCACAGAACCCGAACGGGACCAGGGUAAUGUUUUUCAUAAACAGGAAGUGACAUCACCGCACAACAGGAAGUGCAAAAAGCUCUGGUGUGGUGCUUCGGCUCACAGUACCAUAACAAUGCAUCCAUUGCUCUGUUGGUUAUUUGGUAUUUAUUAUGCAGUAUAGCAAUAUGAAGAAACAUGGCGAAUGAGAGGCUGGAGACCACGGGGGUCAACGCUACUCCGGGGCAUGUCCUCUGAGCCUCCAAACAAAGAAUCAGUGUGCUGCUGCUCGUACCUACGUCCACCAGUCUACUCCCAUCUCCUCACAGUGUGUUCUAAAUCCGUGAUUAUUAUCGGGGUGAGCAAUUGUAUUGUUUUUAACCGUAAUUUAUUGAGACCAGGUGACAGUCCAUGGUGACAUUACCACAAAUGUAAUCUGCUACCGAUACAAACACGCCGCUUACCGGCCAGCAAAAUGUUCCAUGUGACCCAGAUGCAUCUAGCCUUAUAGUUCUAAGCAUCACAAGCAGGAAGCUUCGAGUGGCCCCUGGCUUGGCGGGGGCCCUUAUAGGGCCCCAGCCCCCAUCAUUGUCCCUCAGCGUGGCAUAUAACACAAAAAGAGUAAAACAUGUUUUCAUAAAUACUCUCGUCACAUUCACUUGCAUUUAGUUGCAGAGCUCAUGAUAAUGCAUCUAUAAUAUCUCCUGAGAAAAAGGGGUGAAUUUUUCAAGCAUUGCAUACAUUUCUAGGGUCUCUCUGUCGAGUAAUGACAGGGAUAAAAGAGACUGGGCAGGUCUCUUUGGCUUCUCCACACAAUAUCUUCCAUCCAUUCAGAAUAUUACUCUCUCUCUCUUUCUCUCUCUCUCGCUCGCUCUCUCUCUCGCUCUCUCCAACAUGCCAGUAGCUGACAGACACCCACCAAACAAGACCGUCGCCCUCCCCCUCGUCCUGAAUGUGGCUCAAACAUGUGUUAAAUCAGGAUCAGCCACGGAAAGAUACAUUACUAGACCGACAGACGCCAAGGGAGACAAAAACAUGUGCAAAUGAGCCAAAUCCAUUUUCAAAACGGAACAAUAAUAGUUGAACUCAUCACAACAACCCCCUUCCACGCCCUUCCAGAACGCUCCGCCACUUCCAGAGAAGCAGACCGGGAAAAAUUAAGUUGACACACCUUCUGAAAUUCCCUCCUGAUCACUGAUUGCCUAAGACACUCUUAAAACGCCCCUCACACAAAACAAAGGCAGAUGGUAUGAUACAUUACAGAGGUGAGAAUGCUGCAUACAAAUUAUAAAUAUAAGCUUCUAUAUUCUUACAGUAUUUUUUUUUUCCCCAACAGUACAAUCCCAUAAUACACACAGUCAUCCAUUAUCUCCAUCACCACCACACUGACCGUCUCCAGAGCGGCAGACACACCGUCUGCUCUCUGCGGCCCUCACCCUCCCCGCCGACAGCGCCCUCAUCCUUGUCUACGUAGGCAACAGUUAUAAUAUCUUCCAUUUUAAAAGUGUUGUUUUUAAGAGAGAAAAAAUAGGAUUCCAUGUUAGAUUAUCAACCCCCGUAUCGCGUCUCCUUGUCAAACAAAUGAUUUGAUCUAACGUUCAAUUUCCGACAAUGCCUGGAGGCAGCGCCAGCCUCCGCCGUGGUCUGAGUAUUAGUGUUUUGUGGACUAUGAUUAUUCAUGCAAGAUUUCUGAUCAAAACAUGCCAUCAUGCAAGUCAUUUCUAUGCAUUGAACAAGCACAAUUAUUUAUGUAUUUGUUUGGAAAUCUUUCUGAGUAAAUGUAAGCCCUUGGCCCGAGGUGACCCCUUAAUAAACAGACCCUUAACCAAUCGGUGUGAAGCCCAUGUAGAAAAAGCAUUUGAUGUGGGUAACAAAGAUAAAAUGAGUCGAGAAGUUAAGUGACACGCUUUAAAAUAUUGACUAUUGUUCUUUUUUUUUUCUUUUUUUUUACCUCUUUGCAUUUUUUUUGCCUCUCAAAUGAAGUGGAGAUACAAGGAUAAUCAGCAUUAACAAACCAAGGAAAACCCUCGUCCUCUGGGUCUUUAUGUCUCUAGUCCCCCGCUCCUUCCUCUUGACUCGCUCUAUGAAGACAAUCCUCCGUUACAACCCCCCCCCCCC